UACGGGGGGGGCAAGCGUUGUUCGGAAUUACUGGGCGUAAAGGGCGCGUAGGCGGCCUGCUAAGUCGGACGUGAAAUCCCCCGGCUCAACCGGGGAACUGCGUCCGAUACUGGUGGGCUCGAAUCCGGGAGAGGGAUGUGGAAUUCCAGGUGUAGCGGUGAAAUGCGUAGAUAUCUGGAGGAACACCGGUGGCGAAGGCGGCAUCCUGGACCGGUAUUGACGCUGAGGCGCGAAAGCCAGGGGAGCGAACGGG
rnacentral:rRNA from 1 species